GUACACGCUGUGACUAGCAUAUCAAUAAGCGGAGGAAAAGAAACUAACAAGGAUUCCCCUAGUAACGGCGAGUGAAGCGGGAAGAGCUCAAAUUUGAAAUCUUAAAGGGUUUCCCUUUACGAAUUGUAGUUUAAAGAAGUGUUUUCUGUUGAGGUUUUGGUAAAAGUUCUUUGGAAUAGGACAUCAUAGAGGGUGAGAAUCCCGUAUUUGACCUUUACUUUCAACUUUGUGAUACACUUUCAAAGAGUCGGAUUGUUUGGGAAUGCAGUCCAAAAUGGGUGGUAAAUUUCAUCUAAAGCUAAAUAUUGGCGAGAGACCGAUAGCGAACAAGUACCGUGAGGGAAAGAUGAAAAGAACUUUGAAAAGAGAGUUAAACAGUACGUGAAAUUGUCAAAAGGGAAGCGUUUGACACCAGUGUUGUUUUUCUGAAAAUCGAUUAAAGAACUGUUUAUGCUAAGUUGUUUAGACUUUAUCAGCUAACUGUUUAGUUUUGAGCUUUUCUUUAAUGCACUUUUCAGUUAACAAGUCAACUAUCAAUUUCUUUUGCUGUAAAAAAGCUUGAGGAAGGUGGCUUGAGAUUCGUCUUAAGUGUUUAUAGCCUCUUGCCUAUGCAGUCGGAGAGAUUGAGGUCUGCAGCGUAGAUCCUUCGGGGCUAAAUGCAUUUGUGCUAAGUUAUAGCAUUUAUAGACAACUUGUUGACUAUGAUUUGUCUUGUAGCUUACUCGCUUAUGUUAUUUUACCUACGCUUAGGAUGUUGACAGCAGUAUAGACUG
rnacentral:rRNA from 1 species